rnacentral:rRNA from 1 species
GUGCCAGCAGCCGCGGUAAUACGGGGGGGGCAAGCGUGUUCCGGAAUUACUGGGCGUAAAGGGCGCGUAGGUGGAAUUGUAAGUUAGAGGUGAAAGCCAGCAGCUUAACUGCUGGUCUGCCUUUAAUACUGCAGUUCUUGAGUGCGAAAGAGGGAAGCGGGACUCUUGGUGUAGCGGUGAAAUGCGUAGAUAUCAAGAAGAACACCGGUAGCGUAGGCGGCUUCCUGGUUCGUAACUGACACUGAGGCGCGAAAGUGUGGGGAGCAAACAGGAUUAGAUACCCUGGUAGUCCACACCGUAAACGAUGGAUACUAGGUGUUGGGUUUCACGACUCAGUGCCGAAGUUAACGCAUUAAGUAUCCCGCCUGGGGAGUACGAUCGCAAGGUUGAAACUCAAAGGAAUUGACGGGGGCCCGCACAAGCGGUGGAGCAUGUGGUUUAAUUCGAUGCAACGCGAAGAACCUUACCGGGGUUUGAAAUGCAGUUGCUCUCCGUUGAAAGACGGAUUUCCUUCGGGACAACUGUACAGGUGCUGCAUGGCUGUCGUCAGCUCGUGCCGUGAGGUGUUGGGUUAAGUCCCGCAACGAGCGCAACCCUUGUCCUUAGUUGCUAUCAGGUCAAGCUGAGAACUCUAAGGAGACUGCCUCGGAUAACGAGGAGGAAGGUGGGGAUGACGUCAAGUCCUCAUGGCCCUUACAUCCCGGGCUACACACGUGCUACAAUGGCCAGUACAACGGGAAGCGAUACCGUGAGGUGGAGCAAAUCCCUUAAAACUGGUCUCAGUUCGGAUUGUAGUCUGCAACUCGACUACAUGAAGUU